GUCAUCUAGGAAUCUUGCUAAACAGCAGAGUCAGAUUCAGCAGGUCUGGGGUGUGGCCUGAGAUUCUGCAUUUCUAACAAGCUCCGAGGUGAUGCUGA
rnacentral:pre_miRNA from 1 species